rnacentral:tRNA from 1 species
CGAUUUGGUUCAAGUCCCUCUAUCCCCA